rnacentral:rRNA from 1 species
GACGAACCGUGCGAACGUUAUUCGGAAUCACUGGGCUUAAAGCGCGUGUAGGCGGAUGGGAACGUCGGUAGUUGAAAGCCCCGGGCUCAACCUGGGAAUUGCAUUUGAGACUGCGUAGCUAGGGUGCGGAAGAGGGAAGCGGAAUUUCCGGUGUAGCGGUGAAAUGCGUAGAUAUCGGAAGGAACACCAGUGGCGAAAGCGGCUUCCUGGUCCAGCACCGACGUUCAGGUGCGAAAGCGUGGGGAGCAAACAGG